rnacentral:misc_RNA from 1 species
UCACCGCUUGCGCGGGCAGUCUCAUUAGAGUCCCCAGCAUGACCUGUUGGCAACUAAUGAUAGGGGUUGCGCUCGUUACGGGACUUAACCCAACACCUCACGGCACGAGCUGACGACAACCAUGCAGCACCUCUGCUGGCUCCCUUGCGGGUCGCCCAAUGUUUCCAUCGGACUACCACCAGUAGUUCAAGCCCAGGUAAGGUUUUUCGCGUUGCGUCGAAUUAAACCACAUGCUCCACCGCUUGUGCGGGCCCCCGUCAAUUCCUUUGAGUUUCAACCUUGCGGCCGUACUCCCCAGGCGGCUCAUUUAAUGCGUUAGCUACGGCGCGGAAGGGGUCGAUACCUCCCACACCUAAUGAGCAUCGUUUAGGGCUAGGACUAC